rnacentral:lncRNA from 1 species
AAAAGCAAAGGUUGAUGGAGCGAGAGGAACCCACUCGCAGACUCUUUUUUUUAGCUCAUGUGUUUCUACCUCAUGCUCUCUAGGAAACAUUGGCCUGAGAGCAGGGAGAACGAGACAUGGGGGGAGGGAAAAACAUUUUCUGAAGUCUCUGGUCAUCUGUGUGCAGUCUGCAGGUAAAGGUAUCAUGGUGUAAAAUAUUGAUGGGGCGACAAGUGUGAUCCUAAACGCCGGGCAGGUCUUUGCCCUUCUGAUCGAUGCAUCACACAGCGAGGGGCUGCCAGCAACCCCGCCACAGGCCGAACCACGGACCUCAGUACUGAUUCACGGAGCCUCACUCCUCCUGGAGGAGGAGGUGGAGGUGGAGGUGAGCGGGCAGAGGGAGGUCAGGGAGACCGGCCGCUCGUCCGGGAGCUGUGGUUCAUCGUAGUGAUGACGGCCAUCGCCCUGCUGCUGCUGGCCAUCGUGUUAGGUGUCAUGCUCCAUAAGGCCCUGAACAAACCCCCCUUCACCAGAGAGAGACCCCCGCUGGUGUCCCUGCCCAUGAAGAAGAGGCGCCCCAUGGCUGUUUAUCCAGCCAGCAACUCGGUUUUUGUGAGAGCACAUUUACUGUCACUAUUCACUACAUGAAGAAACAACCUGUUUAAUGGUCGACACUCUGCCUCGUCGCAGCAGAGAACAACAGACCUGUAACUUAGGACAAGUAAACUAGAAUACACAGUUAUAUAAAAUAUACAAUAGAAUACAUUAAAAAAAAGAUUAGUCACUAGUUUUGUUUUAUUACACAGCUCUCUCAUUAAAAAAAUUAUUAUUGCCCAUAUAUUAAAGUAUCUUUUUCUAUUCUAUAUUUGUGUUGUUGACUUUUGAAGUAGUUUGCCUGUAUUUUAAUUGAAAUGUUAUGUUUAUUUUAUACAUGCGGCAAAUUCCUUCUAUGAGGUCUGCGCUAUUUAACUAUGGAGUUAUAUUUGUGGCUCAUUUCUCAGCACAGAAAAAUACUUUUGCAAGCUCAAUAAUUAUAUUUUGUAGAUAAAUUAUCAUCAAGCAAAUAACUACUUAAUUUGAACAAACAAAAAAAAUCUAUAAAAAAUCUCAUUUAUGUUUUCCCAGGAAAAUCCCAGGCACAAAUAUAAUUCCAUAAUAUCAGUGAGACGGACUUGAUGAGUGUAAAUGAUACAUCCGCUCUCCUUUUCAGUUUGACACUGUGCCUGACACAACAGGCUUCUCCAACAGUGUGACACUCAAGGGCUUCACCAUGAAGAUAGAGGUACAAAUCAUCACAAUCACAAAAAGCAGCUGCACAGGCACGUGUGCAUAAAUAUCUGUCUUUCUCCGGCUCCCACCAGGAAGUGCUGGAGUCUAAAUGUGAGCCCAUGGAUGAGGUCGCGCCACAGGGUGAGCUGGGGAUCCUCAGUGUGAACUCCCUGAGGCGCAGCGUCAGCCAGGUGAUGGACGGGAAGUCUCUCGCGGGAGACGACGACACCUGGGACCCAAACAUUUCAGGCCAUGACAGUGGGAUG